rnacentral:lncRNA from 1 species
UUAAAAAAAGUCCGGCAAAUCAUAAAAAAUCGUGGAUUAAAAAAAGUGGUGAUUUUGAAAAAGUGUUCGAUUGUUCAAAAAAAAGUUCAUGGUUUUGAAAAAGUAUUUGCGAAUAUUUUUGUUUGUCGGGCAUGUUUUUAAAAUUGUGAACAUUUUGUCUUUGCAAAUUUGAAAGUAAUGCUUAUGAUUUAAAAAAAAGUGUUCGUGAAUUCAAAAGGUGGUCAUGAUUUUCAAAAACAAUAGUCACAUAUUCAAAAAAUGUUCAUGAAUUUGAAAAUUUAUUCAAAAUUUUGAAAGAAAAAAAAUCUGGGAGAUCAUAAUUGUUUCAUGGGUGCAAACUUUUUGUGGCUUUGAAAAAUGGAUCAUGUAUUUAAAAAAUGUUCAUGGUUUUGAAAAAAAAGUUUGGAAAAUCACAAACUGUUGGCAUAUUCAACAAAAAUAGAGUUUGAAAAAUGUCCAUGCAUUCAUAAGAUGUUUUAUAUUUUUCAAAAAAAUUGAGAUUUAAAAAAUAAUCAUGAUUUUAAACAAAUGUAAAUAUUUGCGGUUUCAAAAUAUGUUCAUGAUUUGAAAGAAAUGUCCAGGAAAAUAGAAAAUAUUCGCGGUCCCAAAAUAGGUUAAUGAUUUUAAACAAUUGUUCCUCAAAAAAUAAAAUUUUAAUAGCAAAAAGAAAAAUAAAAAGAAAAAAACCUAACGCUCUGUUUGGAUGUUUAAUUGAAGGAAAAGAAGUAAAAGCAUAAAUGAAAAACGAAAAUAAAAAACAAAAUAAAAAAUUUAGAAUAAACCAAAAUAAAACGAAAAAUGGUGCGGGACGGCUCUCCAUCCUUUUCAAAAACAGAAAAAAAAACUAAAUGUAGGAGUUACUUGAGCCGGCCCAACUAUAGGUCACGCCAUGAGGUACAUUGUACCUGUCUAUUCGCUGACCCUGAAGGACAACUAAGGGAAGCUCAUUGGACCGGUCUUCCCAACCGGUUCGUAACAAGAGAGAUCUGGCAUGUCUAUGUUUGGGCCCUUGUUAGGCCUUGUAACUCACCCUUACAUACUUGCAAGCCUAGUUUAGGCUCCAUUCAGCCUUGUAACUCCAAAAAUGUCAAAUGGAUGCGCCCUUGUAAAGCCUUGUACCGAACCCUUACAUACUUUGUAAGCCAAGUUUGGGCUCCAUUAGGCUUUGUAACUCCAAAAAUGUCAAAAUGGAGGUCUUCAUUUGAAAACUAUAUCAAAAUCAAACGUCUUAGGGUUUUUUUUUUCAAACAAUACACAUAUACCUAGAGACAUACUAAUAUACAUGUGUGAAAAUGUUUAGGUCAACUUGUAAAUAUGAGGCCUUUUAGCAAAUGUACUGUUCAUUCUUUCUUGAUAAAAACUCCAUGAUUUUCUAUUUCAUCCUGAAAUUUUACAGGACAUACAAGAUGUAUAUUUUUCUAAAAAAAUUAGAACUCUUCAGUUUGAAUUUUGCUCGGUCUCCGAGAUGCCCUACUCCUGUAACUCGCCUUAUAUCCCCCUCAACAAAAAAUACUCGCCCUUAUAUACUCUGUAUCUGGAUGUAUCACAACUGCUAAAAAAAAAUAAGUAUCUGGAUGUAUCGCAAUUUGGACUGGAAGGAUUCUGUAAGAUGAUUCUGCAAGCUGCAAGGUGGAUGGGUGGAACAGCAACAAUUCAAGAUAUUCCAAAUACUUCGCCAUUGAUACCAAGCCAGAUCUUUGUCAAAGACGCUGGCCAUUGGGCGUUGCCAAUGACUUUAGUCCCAUCUCGGAUAUGGGAAGAGGCUAGGACCACCUUAUAAGAAGGAGUGCCACACUCCCUUCAGACCAGUUUUUUUUGGAUGUAGUGGGCUCUUUGCUUGUGCUGGAGGUUGGGACCGAACGUAUGCUGAAGGUUGGGAGCGACGCUAACAAUCUUCCCAUUAGCAUAGUAGUUGUUGUAGCUCAUCACAGUAUUGCAACAUCCAUCAUCCAUCACACGGAUAAAAAAAGGGCGAACCAACCAGACAAAACGUACUUAGAAACCAGGCCAUGUCACAGUACUGCAACAACUAUCACACGGAGAAAAAAGAUGACAUGAAAAACUUAACACUAUGCCCUUAGAUUGUGCACACGGCGGUUCCUCGAGUCUUUAUUCUUCACUGGACUGAACCCGAGGCCGAGGCAAGUUAGGCUCAGUUCAG